UCUUCAUUUCACGUGUUCUCUCACCGGUUAGAGAGGCGAGAGAGCACGCGAAAUGAAGAAGA
rnacentral:pre_miRNA from 1 species